AUUGAACGCUGGCGGCAGGCUUAACACAUGCAAGUCGAGCGGAGCGAGGGUGCUUGCACCUUAGCUUAGCGGCGGACGGGUGAGUAAUACUUAGGAAUCUGCCUAUUAGUGGGGGACAACAUUCCGAAAGGGAUGCUAAUACCGCAUACGCCCUACGGGGGAAAGCAGGGGAUCUUCGGACCUUGCGCUAAUAGAUGAGCCUAAGUCGGAUUAGCUAGUUGGGGGGGUAAAGGCCUACCAAGGCGACGAUCUGUAGCGGGUCUGAGAGGAUGAUCCGCCACACUGGGACGGAGACACGGCCCAGACCCCUAGGGGAGGCAGCAGUGGGGAAUAUGGGACAAUGGGCGGAAGCCUGUUCCAGCCAUGCCGGGGGUGUGAAGAAGGCCUUUUGGUUGUAAAGCACUUUAAGCGAGGAGGGGGCUACUAGUAUUAAUACUACUGGAUAGUGGACGUUACUCGCAGAAUAAGCACCGGCUAACUCUGUGCCAGCCGCCGCGGUAAGAC
rnacentral:rRNA from 1 species